rnacentral:rRNA from 1 species
AUUGAACGCUGGCGGCAGGCCUAACACAUGCAAGUCGAGCGGAUGAAGGGAGCUUGCUCCUGGAUUCAGCGGCGGACGGGUGAGUAAUGCCUAGGAAUCUGCCUGGUAGUGGGGGAUAACGUCCGGAAACGGGCGCUAAUACCGCAUACGUCCUGAGGGAGAAAGUGGGGGAUCUUCGGACCUCACGCUAUCAGAUGAGCCUAGGUCGGAUUAGCUAGUUGGUGGGGUAAAGGCCUACCAAGGCGACGAUCCGUAACUGGUCUGAGAGGAUGAUCAGUCACACUGGAACUGAGACACGGUCCUGACUCCUGCGGGAGGCAGCAGUGGGGAAUAUUGGACGAUGGGCGAAAGCCUGAUCCAGCCAUGCCGCGUGUGUGAAGAAGGUCUUCGGAUUGUAAAGCACUUUAAGUUGGGAGGAAGGGCAGUAAGUUAAUACCUUGCUGUUUUGACGUUACCAACAGAAUAAGCACCGGCUAACUUCGUG